rfam:Oryza nivara chromosome 4, whole genome shotgun sequence.
AAAAAGAUAAACCCUGAGUUUCCGUGUUCAACGUUUGACUGUCCGUCUUAUAUAAAAUUUUUUUAUAAUUAGUAUUUUAAUUGUUGUUAGAUGAUAAAACAUGAUUAAUACUUUAUGUGUGACUUCUCUUUUUAAUUUUUUUUAAUAUUUUUUUCAAAUAAGACGGACGGUCAAAUGUUGGACACGGAAAUCCAGAGUUUGUCUUUUU